GUGAAAACAGAGGGAGAACAAAACCAGCCUUUCCUGCCUCUGUGGAUUCAGCUGUUCUUUUAUGUCUUAGAUUUCAGUUGCAACCUCUUUGGGGGCGAAGACUUUUUGUUCUGCGUUUGUAUGGGGUCCAGCACGGCGAGGGGCUGGCUCAGAGGUGUUCAAAGCAUUGUCCCCCUGCUCAUCAGUCAAGUGAAGGAGAAGUCUGACAGAGCCAGUCACUGAAACAUUUGCAAAAUGAGUUUGAAAAGUUAAAACCACAAGAGCUAAACAUGUUAAGACCAGGUAAAACUGACUUACUGGAGUUUUUUUCUGACUUUAUUCAAAAGAUGUGAAUUUCAAAAUGGCAAUGGACAUGCAAAAUCCAAGAAAGAUUGACUUAAAAGUGGGUAGGAAUACAAUCUAGAGCAGGGGGUUAAAUCCACAGAAAUGUCAUGUUACAUGGCCGUUAUGGCUGAGCUAGAGUCUGCUUAAGACUGUUCGCUUUCCACUUGUAGUAUAGAGUUUGUAGUUGCCUACAGAUUUAUAUUGCUUUUGGUCAUAUGUAGUCCACAGGCGACUUGAUCUAGUGUUAUGUAUCCUCCCUAUGUAACCCAGAAUAGAAAGUCUGAUCACACACAAAACAAGGUUGGCUUUAUUUAUGAUUGUGGAAAUACAGUAGUAUCUCAGAUGCCCAGAGCUUUUAUGAUGUGUAUAAGCCUGAAUAUAUAAAUAGAUGCCCGGAUCAGCUAAAGGUUUCUCCAGUUAUGUCAGGACAUAUUGACAGCUUGUCUGUGGCUCAUUCCUCAGCUUGCUCCAGAGGAAUGUAAUUUGAUAUUUGCACUUUUUCCACUUGCAUGUAUUUCAUAUACGCUUUGCUUAUCUCUGUUGUUGUAAAUGGAUGUAUUUUCUGCAGCUGUUCAAAGCAAGAAUAGAGGUUCUGAGCUGUGAAAUGUAAUGUUAAGUCCGAGACAGCAGCGGUAUCUUAGCAGACUCAGGCCUUUCCCAUUUGGAAACAGUGGUAUUUUAUCCCGCACCAUGCUGUGUAUGGUAAAACAAGUUUCUCCCAAUGUAUUUUACAGCAGCAGAAACUGCUGCAUGGGGUAGGGACGGGACUUGGAAGUUUCAUGUAGCAGCUGCAUAUCAGAGCUGGGAGUCUGCAUAGCCCCAGGAUUUAAGGCAAAUUAGUGGUCCCACAUCUGGCUGACCUAUGGGUCUCAGGUGGACCUUCCCUAAGAGGCUGGCUCCUCUCUCUGCAGAGAAGCUCCUGUUGACCAACAGCACAGGCAAAUCCCAGCAGGGUGGCAGAACCGCUGUCACAAGAGAGCAGAGGCUUGAGGUAGUGAGACCAAAAGCAUUUUAAGCAUGAAACUAGACAUCAGAUAAGCUCUUUUAAUGGAGUUGCGCUAUCCAAGCUGCUCACUUUUUGUCUCUGGAAGAGCUGAAAAAAGGCUCUGCAAAGGGCGGCACUCAGUCUGUGCUGGGGUGCAGAUUCUUCAAGGCCAGUCACAAAUGGCAGUGCAGCAUCUUUUAUUUUUAAACACCUCUCAGAGACAGGCUCUGAAGAGCAAGAGGCUUCUCUGGCUGCAAGGGAAAAUAUAUCUGGUGUAUCUUUCACUGGAAGUGUUUAUAGGGUAAAUCAGGACUGUUACAAUGUCUGAGGCUAGCUCAUGUAUCAAAAGCAGUUUAGCUACAGCGGUACAGGAGUGAGCUCUGUGUUUUAUUAAUUUACUCUGCUUCUCUACAAUAUAUUACAAAGAACAUGGGCCUGUGUGGCACUGGGUCAUACUCAGGCCUUAAAUUUAUCAGAACCAUGAAACAGGUGAAAGAGGAAGAAAAUAGCUCUAUUCCUUCAACUGUUCCUAUUUCUAUCUCCUAAAUACUAGCUGUAACCCAUGUCUGUUGUUGUUUCAUAUAUACUUUGCCUGGUGCAUUAGAGAAUGGAUGAACAGUCCGUUUCAUCCAGUUCAUUUUAAGGUCUGGCUGUGCAGAAUCCCCUGCUUUGUGGCAGCGUUACCAAAUGAUAAAACGGAUCCUUGUUUUCCAUCCCAUCCUCUGGGCAGCGGUGGAAUGAGAUCUGGCUAUUUUAGAUGGUGGUGGCAGAGCAGAAUUGAAAGGAUCAAACACAGCAGUAGCCAGAGGUUUGGAUUCUUCCCUGAUCUGCAUCUUCUGCAGCCUUAUGUCACCUCCAUCAAUAUUGGAUGUAAGUCAGGAAAGAAUUGGUUCCUGGUGUUCUCAUCCGGAUGUACAACUGAUUGAUGUGCUUUAACUCCUGUCAGUGUUAAUGUGAGUUGCUACAUGCACAUGAAUCCCCACAUGGCUACAGGCCUCUUGGAUUUCCUUAUGUUCUUGGGAUAUCAUUACAUUUUUUACUUUGGACAUUGCAAGAACAUAUCCAGGAUGCAAUUCUGGAUUGCAAUAGAGCAUAAUAUAUUUUUACACAUGUUUAUAAAACAUAAACUGUACCAAUCUUGCAUUGUAUCCCAUUGUAAUCAUAGCAGGCUUUCGAAGUAGCAGCAAAAAGAGGACUCUAGAUUUUUAUAAGAACUACCUUCGUGUAA